AUGGUUAUGGCUCAGUGGUAGAGCACUCACCUAGCAUGUGCGACAUCCUGGGUUCAAUCCUCAGAACCACA
rnacentral:tRNA from 1 species